GGGUGUAUAGCUCAGUUGGCAGAGUAAUCGGCUUUUAACCGAUGUGUCGUAGGUUCAAGUCCUGCUAUACCCG
rnacentral:tRNA from 1 species